rnacentral:misc_RNA from 1 species
AAAAGUCGUAACAAGGUUUCCGUAGGUGAACCUGCGGAAGGAUCAUUACCGAGUACCGGGUCUCUCAGGCCCUUACUCCCACCCUUUGUGUACCUUACCACGAAAUUCAGUUGCCUUGGCGGGGGGGUUUUGCCCGCCCGCCAGGGGAACACCCCUAAACUCUCAUGAAUCGAGUCGUCUGAGAACAAAUUCAAUGAAUUAAAACUUUCAACAACGGAUCUCUUGGUUCUG